CCCACGAACCCGUGAAUUAUACUUCAUCAUUCCUUUCUAGCACUGUUUACUUAUUUUGCAAUUCAGAGUGAUUUUAAAUCUUUGCACUCUACUCCUACCGCAGAACAACAAAUUCCACGCUAUUUAAGAGCGGGAAGUGAACCUGAUUCUGGUCAAUUAAUCGAUUGCGAGGAGUGCUGAAGUUGUUUCAUUUGUCGACCUACUUGUGCACGGUUGAAUGACAAGAAACUGAACUUAAACUUGAGGUUGUGAACUGACUCUCUGAGGGUGACCCACCAUUUCAUCCCACGAGCCGAGGAGCAAGGUGGUAAAGCCAAGCAAGACGGAAGAACCAGCGCCGAAACUGAACGCUUCAGAACGGACAGGAUUUCAUAUAAUUUUAUUUCUCAUUUGAAGGGUCUGAAUUUGAUUUUCGGGAAGUCCUGAUUAUUUGGAAAGCACUCUAAUAAGUUGCUGACUGAGAUUUAGUUUGCUUAGAAGUUGCAAUGUUGGAGAACUUGUCAUGAGAGGAACUUGGGGGGUUGGUUUUGAAUUUAUACACACAUUGAUCUGAAACUAAAACUGAAGCUUAGUCAAAAAUAGGAAUUCAAUUAGUUUCAAAUGUUCGCCUGUAAAACUUUAAGUGAGGAAUAACACUAGAUCCAAUCACUUAGAGAAAUUCUAAUGAAUCUCACUGAUUCUGACUGAAAAGGAAUUUGGUUUUCAAUGAUAUCGGAGGUUUGGAACCUAAGCCACAAUGUUGGAAUUUUGAGUUGUUCUUACUCAGAUGAACAUUUUGUAUACAUUGCUAUUUUUAUAAACAAAUCUUACCUCCAGACGUGUGUGGUUUCUAAUUCACUGCAUCCAUUCGAUACCCAGAGCUUCUGAUAGCUCACUAACACCUGAUGUAACACGGAAACAUAGAAAACCUACGGCACAUUACCGGCCCUUCGGCCCACAAUGCUGUGCUGAACAUGCCCUUACUUUAGAAAUUACCGAGGUUUACUCAGAGACCUCCAUUUUUCUAAGCUCCAUGUACCUGUCCAUCCAGGGGUCUCUUAAAAGAUCCCAUUGUAUCCGCCUCCACCAUCGGCCCAUUCCACUCUCUGCAUAAAAAACUUACCCCUGACAUCUCCUCUGUACCCACUUCCAAGCACCUUAAACCUGUGCCCUCUCGUGUUAGCCUUUUCAGCCCCGGGAAAAAGCCUCUGACUACCCACACGAUCAAUGCCUUUCAUCACCUUAUACACCUCUAUCAGGUCACCUCUCAUCCUCCUUCGCUCCAAGGAGAAAAGGCCGAGUUCACUCAACCUAUUCUCAUAAGGCAUGCUCCCCAAUCCAGGCAACAUCCUUGUAAAUCUCCUCUGCAUCCUUUCUAUAGUUUGCACAUCCUUCCUGUAGUGAGGCGACCAGAACUGAGCACAGUUCUCCAAAGUAGGCACUGACCAUGGUCCAAUAUGGCUGUAACAUUGUGCUCCUAAACACAAUCCCACGAUUCAUGAAGGCCAGUGUCUUCUCAACCACAGAGUCAACCUGCGCAGCAGCUUUGAGUGUCCUGUGGACUCGAACUCCAAAAUCCCUCUGGUCCUCCACACUGCCAAGAGUCUUACCAUAAAUACUAUAUUCUGUCAUCAUACUUGACCCACCAAAAUGAACCACCUCACACUUAUCUGGGUUGAACGCCAUCUGCCACUUCUCAGCCCAGUUUUGCAUCCUAUCAAUGUCCCGCUGUAACCUCCAACAACCCUCCACACUAUCCACAACACCCCCAACCUUUGUGUCAUCAGCAAAUUUACUAACCCAUCCCUCCACUUCCUCAUCCAGGUCAUAUAUAAAAAUCACAAAGAGUAGGGGGUCCCAGAACAGAUCCCUGAGGCACUCCACUGGUCACCAACCUCCAUGCAGAAAAUGACCCGUCUACAACCACUCUUUGCCUUCUGUGGGCAAGCCAGUUCUGGAUCCACAAAGCAAUGUCCCCUUGGAUCCCAUGCCUCCUUACUUUCUCAAUAAGCCUUGCAUGGUGUAUCUUAUCAAUUGCCUUGCUGAAAUCCAUAUUCACUACAUCUACUGCUCAACCUUCAUCAAUAUUUUUAGUCACAUCCUCAAAGAAAUCCAUCAGGCUCGUAAGGCACGACCUGCCUUUGACAAAGCCAUGCUGACUACUCCUAAUCAUAUUAUGCCACUCCAAAUAUUCAUAAAUCCUGCCUCUCAUGAUCUUCUCCAUCAACUUACCAACCACUGAAGUAAGACUCACUGGUCUAUAAUUCCCUGGGUUAUCUCUACUCCCUUUCUUGAAUAAGGGAACAACAUCCACAACCCUCUAAUCCUCUGGAACCUCUCCAGUCCCCAUUGAUGAUGCAAAGAUCAUCACCAGAGGCUCAGCAAUCUCCUCCCUCGCCUCCCACAGUAGCCUGGGUUAUAUCUUGUCCAGUCCUGGUGACUUAUCCAACUUGAUGCUUUCCAAAAGUUCCAGCACAUCCUCUUCCUUAAUAUCUACAUGCUCAAGCUUUUCAGUCCACGAAAGUCAUCCCUACAAUUGCCAAGAUCCUUUUCCUUGGUGAAGCAAAGUAUUCAUUAAGUACCUCUGCUAUCUUCUCCAGUUCCAUUAUAUAUUUUUCCCCUGUCACACUUGAUUGGUCCUAUUCUCUCAUCUUAUCCUCUUGCUCCUCACAAACUUGUAGAAAGCCUUGUGGUUUUCCUUAAUCCUGUCCACCAAGGCCUUCUCAUGGCCCCUUCUGGCUCUCCUAAUUUCAUGUUUAAGCUCCUUCCUGCUAGCCUGAUAAUCUUCUAGAUCUCUAUCAUUACCUCGUGUUUUGAACCUUUUGUAAGCUUUUCUUCUUGACUGGAUUUACAACAGCCUUUCUACACCAUGUACUAUGUAAUUUGAUUUUACUGCUAAAGAGUGCAGCAACUAGUCACGGAAGAUCAAACCAGCACUGGACAAGUGUUACAUAAGGUAAAUGACCACACAUAUCUCAGCCUGAAACAUCGACAGUGCUUCUCCUUAUAGAUGCUGCCUGGCCUGCUGUGUUCCACCAGCAUUUUGUGUGUGUUCCUAAUUAAGCCAACUGCUUUAGUAUUCACCCACUUAUCACACUGAAAUAGGGAAUCCUCCUUAAUUAAUCCUUCUUCUCCUAGCCCGUGGCACAAGGGUCUUCUCUGCCAUAGUUGGUCUCCAGAUUCCUUACUGCUCUACCUCUGAAACAUCUUAUUGCUAUUUCUGUUCUGCACUGUCACACUUCAGUUCUGCUGGUUCUGUCUCAUCCCACCUUUCACUGACUUGGGCCCGUGGCUAGAGGUGACAUCGGCGACUGCUUGUCCCCCAGAAGGAGAUGCUCUGGCUUUGUAAAGGAUCAAACUCGGAGUAUUGUGAGCAAUUUUGGGCCCUAUAUCUAAGAGAGGAUGCACUGGCAUUGGAGAGGGUCCGGAGUAGGAUGAUCCUGGGAAUGAAAGGGUUAACAUGUGGGUAGCACUGAUGGUUCUGGGCCUGUACUUGCUGGAGUUCGGAAGAACGGGGGAGAGGGUCUCAUUGACAUCUAUCGAAUACUGAAUGGACUAGAUAGAGUGGAUGUAGAGAGGAUGUUUCCUAUGGUGGGAGGAAUCUAGGACUAGAGGUAACAGGCUCAGAACAGAAAGGCAGCCAUUUAGAACAGAGAUGAGGAGGAAUUUCUUUAGCCCGAGGGUGGUGAGCCUUUGGAAUUCAUUGUCGCAGACAGCUGUGGAGACUAAGUCAUUGGGGGUAUUUAAAGCAGAGAUUGACAGGUUCUUGAUUAGUAAGGGCAUCAAAGCUAACAGGGUGAAGGCAGGAGAAUGGGGUUGAGCGAUCAAAAAAAUCGGCCACAAUGGAGUGGCAAAGCAGAGUCGAUGGGCCAAAUGGCCUAAUUCUGCUUCCAUGUCUGAUGGUAUUCCUAGGUCAGUUUCCCCUGAAUCAGGCAGCUCCAGGUUAUAUCGGAUCAUGAACAGAUAUUAUCCUUAUAAACCUGUAUUGAUUCUUCAUCCUUAUCCCACAAUUGACAUCUGACUUGACAUG